UGCAGUGGGAGGCACACCGAGAGUGAGGUAAAUACGGUUAAUUGCCAAGUUUUGUUGGAGGAAGAAAGCUUCAUUAGAGGGAGCUCAAGACAAUUCUCAUUUUCUUCUUUCUUGAAACUUUCCCUGGAAAGUCUGUCCAGUCUUUGGCAAGGAGAACAGGAUUUGAAGCUGGAAGCUUGCUACCAAGUUUUCUUCAGAAAAGAAUAAACUAGAAGGUGACAUAAGGAGAAGUGAGACUGGCUAGGGAUUGAAGAUCCACGGAGCUCUACAACUUUAGUCUUACUCACUCCUGGAGCCAAGGAAUAUGGCUUCUAGGUUUGCGAGACCAGAAGGCGUGCUUCUUCCAAAUGAGUCUCUACCCCUGACUGUGCUGCCUUUCUGCCAUGGUCUUACAUGUUAGUACCUGUACUAAUUCUAAUUUGGAGCAUACAGCAAUCAUUUCUU
rnacentral:lncRNA from 1 species